UCCAAAUUAAAAAAUUUGUGUUCGCUUUGAAACUACCUGACAUAUUACCUACGGGUCCAUCGAAUUGGAAUUGAAAACGAACGACAAUCUGGAUUUUCAACUGCAAAAUGUAGUUGACGUUGCUGCGGUGGAGUUCGAUGUAGUUGUUUUGGCCAAUCCUCCAAAGUUGACCAGCGAUGAACACCAAAAAUUUUGGAAAAAACAUCACAUCAAACAAAUUGAAAUUGAAAUAAAAUUUUCGUCCGUCAAAACAAAAAGAGGGACACCAUUCAUUGCUUGCCUUAUGUAAAUACAAAAUGGGUGAAUAGAACGGCAAAAGAUGACAACAAAAUAGAAGAGAAAGCCACACACACAACAAAUUGCUCGCUCAAAAAAACUGAAUGAAUGUCCAAAAAUAAAAUGUUGAAACUGAACAAAAAUAAAAUGUUGAAAACACGAGGCCAUAAAUAAAAUAUGAA